GUCAGCGGUCACAGCAAACAGGUCACACCCGUUCCCUUUCCGAACACGGAAGUUAAGCUGUUUCACGUACUCGUCGGUACUGCCUAAUGGCGGGAAAGCGGGAAAGCUGCUGGCA
rnacentral:rRNA from 2 species